AACUGGAAAAUUUUGGGUUUUUCAUGGUUUUUAUCACUUGGGUUCCAACAGGGCCUGGCUGUUCUUCACUUGGAGUUGGGGCUGUUGAAGGAAACGUUACUAGUAUGGACAGGUGUCAAAUGACCAGUGGAGGCUCCUAACCUUUGUCGUCAUUCACAGCAGCCAAGGAUUUUCUGUUUUUCUGUUUUCAUUCUUCUCAACAGAUUGCUCCACGUUGCUCCUCUUAUUUUCCAUUACUAAAAUCUGUUUUUGCUCUCAAUCUCUACUAUAAAUGUACCAAAAAAUGAUCCAUUAAAUAGAAUGAAGGGAUUCAUUUUCUCAUUUUCUGAUUCUCCAUUAUUUUUCUGCUUAUGCUCUGUAUUUAGCUUUUUUUUUUACUGUUCUUAACUUGGUAUCUGAGCCUUUUUUCCUCACGGAUUAAGCUUUCGUUAUGACCAACACCAACAGUAACGCCACCAGUCAAACGAUUGAAUCUGUCACUGCCUCUGGUGCGAUUGGGAGCUCCGUCGAUGGCUUUGAUGGAAGACUGUUUGCAACCAAAAAGCUUAAUAUUAUCCUAGAUGAUGACAACUACUUAUUGUGGCAGCAACAAGUUUUACUAGCAGCCAAAACCUUCAAACUUCAAGGCUACUUAGACGGCACCCUUGUUCCACCUCCCUCGAUGAUACCCGAUGAAAAUGGUGGGUCAACACCAAACCCAGAUUUUGCAAGAUAUGAGCAACAAGAUAGUGCUCUUGCUUCUUGGUUGCUUUCAUCAGUGAGUCAAACAGUUCUUCCUCACCUUAUUGGAAUGAACACUUCUUCUCAAAUAUGGCAAACUUUGGCUCGUGUUUAUGGCAGCAAAACGACCUCCAAGCUAAUGUUUUAUCGUCGAGCACUUCACUCUCAACGCAAAGGUGAUUUGAGCAUGAAGGAUUAUUUACUUAAAAUUAAAAGUUUCUGUGAUAACUUAGCAAACUGUGGAUAAAUGGUUAGUGAAUAUGAGCAUGUUACGGCUAUUUUAAAUGGUUUAUCUGCUGAUUUUGAAUCUGUUAUUACUGCCAUCUCGGCUAGUCCUAUUCCAUACAGCGUUCAAACGGUAUCCACACUUCUUCUUGAUGCUGAAGCGCGACAACAAACUCUUCUCGCCUCUAUUCCAGCUGCUGCCAAUAUGAUUACCACUCAAAGUUCUCAAAACAAUGGAGAAACUCCCUCUUACAGACCACCCAAUCCUUCUUCUUUUCGAGGUCGAGGAAGGGGUCGAUCUAAUAAUUCUAGGCUCCAAUGCCAACUUUGCGGAAAGCCCGGGCAUCUGGUAGAUCGAUGCUACUUUCGUUUCGAUCAAAACUAUAAGGCUUCUACUUACAGACCUCCCUCUUCACAACCGGGAACACAAGCUCCUCAAGCCUAUCUUGCUACCUUCAACACCCCUCAAUGGACACCAACUGGUGGGUCAUCCUCUGUGCAUAAUAGUGGGACAGCACCAUGGGCCCCACCUCCUUCACUUGAACCACAUGGGUAUUGGAUUUAUCAAACUUCACCUCUCCAGAAUGCUAAUGCCUCCAUGCCACCAACCACUACUCUGCCUAAUAAUGCCAAUGCUUAUAUUGUAACUCCUGAAACAGUAAGUGAUCUAAGUUGGUACACAGACUCUGGUGCUACCCACCAUAUAACUCACUCUUCUGAAUCCAUGGGUGAAAAAGCUUCAUAUUCUGGACCAGGUACAAUUUUUGUUGGUAAUGGUUAUGGUCUUCCUGUUAUGCAUACUGGUCAAUUGUCUUUAAUUACUCAAACACGACCUUUAGUCAUGCGCUCUUUACUUUAUGUUCCUGGCAUCACUAAAAAUCUUCUCUCUGUUUCCAAGUUCACUAGUGAUAAUCAAGUGAUGUUUGAGUUUUUUCCAAAGGAGUGCAAGGUUCGGGACCUAAAGACAAAUGAAGUUCUGUUGCAUGGAGAUGUUCAUGGUGGUUUAUAUCGUUUAAAGUUGCCAUUUUCUUCUUCAAAUCCGUCUGCUCAAUGCUAUGUUACUUCGCAUACUACUCCGUUGUCUUUAUGGCAUGCUCGUCUUGGGCAUCCAUGCCGCUCUACUCUUGUUCAAGCUCUUCAAAAUUGUAAUGUUUCAUUUCAUGAUAAUAAAAUUGGUGACUGUUGUCCAGCAUGUCAAAUGGGAAAAGCUCAUAAACUGCCUUUUACAAAUUCCUUGACAGAGUAUACAACACCGUUACAAUUAAUUAUAUCUGAUGUUUGGGGACCAGCACCGGUUACAUCAAAUGGUUUCUCCUAUUAUGUGGCAUUUAUAGAUGCUUUUUCUAGAUAUACAUGGAUAUACUUUCUCACUCGAAAAUCAGAUGUUUUAAGUGUGUUUAUUCAAUUUCAUAAGAUGGUGGAACGUCUUCUUGGUCACAAGAUAAAAGUACUUCAAACUGACAAUGGUGGAGAAUUUCAAGCUUUAAAAGGGUAUCUAUCGCACCAUGGUAUCAUUCAUCGUUUAUCAUGCCCUCAUACUUCUGAGCAAAAUGGCAUAGUUGAACGGAAACAUCGCCAAAUUGUUGAAUCUGGGUUGUCGAUGCUUGCUCAUGCUAGUAUGCCUCUACACUACUGGAAUGAUGCCUUUACAAGUGCUAUUUUUCUUAUUAAUCGACUUCCAACCAAUGCGUUAGAUGGUUUUUCUCCGUUUGAAAAACUUUUUGGCACAAAACCAGAUUAUCAAUUCUGCCAUGUAUUUGGGUGUCUCUGCUUUCCAAAUUUGCGCCCCUUCAACAGGAACAAAUUGAAUUUUCGGUCAGAGCCUUGUGUUUUUCUUGGUUAUUCUCCUUUACAUAAAGGAUAUCGGUGCCGGACAUCAGAGGGUAAAAUCAUUGUUUCACGUCAUGUCAUUUUUAAUGAACAACAAUUUCCCUUUAAACAAACCCAAUCUCAGCUUUUACCUCACCAAAAUAAAAAUUCAACCACUACCUUGUAUAUUGUGCCAUCACCUAUCAACUCAUCCCCUCCUUCACGUCACAUAAGUCCAUCACCUCCACAUAUUUCUUCUACUACUCCUACACACACUAUGGGACCCACCAUGUGUUCACUUGAUAACCCCCCAUCUUCGGCCUAUAUACCAUCCCACCCUCCUACUUUAUCUGACAAUUCCCACACUACAAUUAACCCACCAUCACAUUCUACUCCUAUACUCACACCACAAAUUGAUCAAACUGAAAAUUUUGAACCACAACAAGCUUCCACCACAAACACCCAUCCCAUGAUAACUAGAAGCAAAGCUGGAAUUUUUCGCCUCAAAAUUCUAUUUUCUCAAGCACCUUCCUCUGACCCUGAGUUACCCUCUGAUAUUCAUAGUGCUAUGCGUUAUCCUCACUGGCAAAAUGCUGUUCAUAGUGAGAUUCAAGCUUUGAUAAAAAAUAACACUUGGACAUUAGCUCAUUUACCAUCUUCUCAUCGUGCUAUCGGAUGUAAAUGGCUGUUCAAAGUUAAGAAGAAACCAGAUGGUAUAGUGGACCGUUACAAAGCGCGUCUUGUUGCUAAAGGGUUCUCUCAAAAUGCCGAUUCUGAUUUUGUUGAUACUUUCAGCCCAGUAGUUCGUGCCAACACUAUACGGACUGUUCUUGCUAUUGCUGUUAUGAAAGAAUGGAGUCUUCGUCAAAUUGAUGUAAAUAAUGCGUUCCUUAACGGCAUUCUUACUGAAGAAAUUUAUAUGCAACAACCACCGGGAUUCGAAGCUCAGGGGUUGAACGGUGAGUCAUUGGUAUGUAAGCUCAACAAAGCAUUGUAUGGCCUUAAACAAGCUUCUCCAGCUUGGUUCAACACUCUAAAGGAUUUCCUUGUCUCCAACUUGGGUUUUCAGCCUUCCAAAAUUGAUUCUUCACUCUUUAUUCGACACACUGCCCGCUCACAAGUAUUUCUUAUGGCUUAUGUUGAUGAUAUUGUUUUAACCGGCAAUUCUCAAUCUGAUAUUGAUGAUAUUGUCACCCAACUUCACUCUCGAUUUGCUAUUAAAGAUCUUGGAACUCUUCAAUAUUUUCUUGGUAUUGAGAUUUGCUCUAUGACUGGUGGCUUAUUACUUUCACAAAAGAAAUAUCUUCUGGAACUGCUUCAUCGAACUGGUAUGCAUGGUGCCACACCUACUCCUACGCCAAUGGUAGGUCUCCCUCAUCUGACUCGCAAUAAUGGUACUCCUUUUGAAGAUACUCAUUUAUAUAGAAGCGUAAUCGGCACUCUUCAAUAUGCUUGUAUUACCAGACCAGAUCUCACCUAUUGUGUUAAUAAACUAAGUCAAUAUAUGAAUCAUCCUCUAGACACUCAUUGGAAAGCUGUAAAAAGAGUAUUGAGGUACAUCAAUGGAACUCUUGAUUAUGGAUUGCGGUUCAAAAAGGGGUGUUUUAAUCUUGUUGGAUAUUCAGAUGCUGACUGGGCCUCCACUCCUGAAGAUCGACGCUCCACCACCGGCUACUGUAUUUUCUUAGGACCAAAUCCUAUCACGUGGUCAUCUAAAAAGCAGUCAGUUGUCUCCCGUUCAUCUACUGAAGCUGAAUAUAGGAGCUUAGCUAAUUGUGCUUCUGAAAUGCUUGGAUUACAACAACUUCUUGAUGAACUUGGUAUAAGUCUCUCACACACACCAAUUAUAUGGUGUGAUAAUACCUCUGCCGUUUCAAUCUCCGCCAAUCCAGUUCACCACUCAAAAGUUAAACAUGUUGAGAUUGAUCUAUACUUUGUAAGGGAAAAGGUUCUCUCUGGAGCUUUGCAAGUCAACUAUAUCCCCUCAAAUAAACAAAUUGCUGAUUCUCUCACUAAACCCAUCUUACCUAAAGACUUUUCUCACUUUCGCAAAGCUUUAUGUGUUUCUUCACCACAAGCUAUAGAAGACGGGGAGGAUGUUGAAGGAAACGUUACUAGUAUGGACAGGUGUCAAAUGACCAGUGGAGGCUCCUAACCUUUGUCGUCAUUCACAGCAGCCAAGGAUUUUCUGUUUUUCUGUUUUCAUUCUUCUCAACAGAUUGCUCCACGUUGCUCCUCUUAUUUUCCAUUACUAAAAUCUGUUUUUGCUCUCAAUCUCUACUAUAAAUGUACCAAAAAAUGAUCCAUUAAAUAGAAUGAAGGGAUUCAUUUUCUCAUUUUCUGAUUCUCCAUUAUUUUUCUGCUUAUGCUCUG
rnacentral:lncRNA from 1 species